GAGGUACUGUCUCGUUCUAAGACACCAAGGAAAAGGUUUGCUUUCUUCAACUCUCUUGGAAAAAAGCAUCAGCCUCAAUCAAAAGAACUGAGAGAAGCACAGUCAGGGUCCUCUACUGCCUUAGAGCUCUUGCUCAAGUAAUGUAAGACUCAACCAAUUUACUUUCUGCCUAAAUCAUGAAGAAAUGUAACCUAAGUUCCUGCCACUUUGGAGAGUUCUUGAAAGCCUGGUCCAUGUGUGAAAGGGGACACCAUUUCCAGCAGAUUGAGACAAACUUGGAUAAGAAGCUUGGAUGUUAACUAGACGCUGAAGAUGAAAAGAUAACACCCUCAUCUUUAAGAUCUCAGCUCAGACUCACUGUUUGCCUGUCCUGAGGUGAGACAAUAUGAU